AAUCUCCAUUGCCGUCAUGCAAUGUGAGCAUGAUGCUGGGACAUGUGCACUGACAAAAUCUGAAUGAAAGCAAACAUUUCUCGGUGUUUACCUGGUAUCCAAAAAGAUGACUUGGCAGAGGAACUGGUGAAAUUGGACAAGAAGAAGGAUUUGGGGAAAAGUAAAUAAAAGAGCACGAAAACAGAAGAAGUCUUUCUGGAUCACUUGACUUGUA